rnacentral:rRNA from 1 species
UGGGGAAUAUUGGGCAAUGGGCGAAAGCCUGACCCAGCGACGCCGCGUGAGGGACGAAGGCCUUCGGGUUGUAAACCUCUUUCAGUAGGGAAGAAGCGAAAGUGACGGUACCUACAGAAGAAGCACCGGCUAACUACGUGCCAGCAGCCGCGGUAAUACGUAGGGUGCAAGCGUUGUCCGGAAUUAUUGGGCGUAAAGAGCUCGUAGGUGGUUCGAUACGUCGGAUGUGAAAAUCAGGGGCUCAACCCCUGACCUGCAUCCGAUACGGUCGAGCUAGAGUUUGGUAGGGGAGACUGGAAUUCCGCGUGUAGCAGUGAAAUGCGUAGAUAUGCGGAGGAACACCGAUGGCGAAGGCAGCCCCCUGGGAUGAUACUGACGCUCAUGCACGAAAGCGUGGGGAGCAAACAGG